GCAAGUGGCCCCUGCUGGAUACAAACUCUGUUCACAUCAGGAUGCUCCUGCCCGGGAGAAUGAAAUACCCUACAUCAGCAGGAGGGAAAUGUACACCAUGGAGAGAGAGGAGAAGAUGUGUCCUUUUAUUUCCAGCAAAAUGGUGCUGCUUUGAUUCGUUUCAGCAACCAGAAGUUAUGGAGGUGAAGAGCUAAGAGAUGACAACUUGAAAUUUGACAAGACCUGAGUUCAGCUCCUGAUGCCAAAACAGCCUGCACCACCCUUCUACCACACAGUUGAAGAGACAAAAGGCAGACAGGAGAGACAUACAAGCUAUGAUCCUACCUACACCCGGAGGAGUCAAAGCUCACGGAAAAGGAGACUGAAUUGUUUGAAUCUCUGGAUUUCUUGUUCUGCCUGUACAUUAAAAUCCCCAGAGAUUACUGAGCCCUGUUUCUGACCCUGUUACACAGAGCUGGUGCCUUGCUUCAACCAUGUUGUGAGGGCAGAAGAAACUGCAAACUCAGGCUUGGAUUGUUUGCAAACUGAUGCAAAAACCCUCUCAGUGGUGACCUGUUACCUGUAGUCUCUCACAGCUCCUCUGUGGCUGGCUCAGACCUCUUCUAAAUAAAGGUUUUACCAAAAUAAGCUAUUGCA
rnacentral:lncRNA from 1 species